rnacentral:lncRNA from 10 species
AGGCUCCACUGAGCCGAGAUUGCACCAUUGCACUCCAGCCUGGGUGACAGAGUGAGACCCUGUCUCAAACAAAACAAAACAAAACAAAAACCCAGUUAGACUGCUGGAAUAGUCCAAAUAAGAAAUCAGGAGGCCUUGAAACGUGUCAGUGGGAUUAAAGAGGAGAGAGGUGGAAUUGAAGGUUAUCUGGUAGGUGCAAUCAACAGACUUAGUGGUUUAAAAAGUGAGUGAGAGGUUAUAGUCAGGUUGGGACUAUGUAUUAAUCCUUUAUUUUUUUAAUUUACUGUACUGUACUAUGUAUUAUUGUUAAUAUCCUUUAUUUCAGAUUGACAUAUACCCUUAAAUAUUCUUAAGAUCAUAUCCUUAAGGUCUUAAUAGUCUCUGAAUAAAUAUUGGUAUAAGCUGCUUCCUAAAUGAUUUCCCAUUUAUUUACUGGUGUUUUUAUAUAUCUAUUUAGAGACUGAAUCUCACUAUGUUGCCCAGGCUAGAGUGCAGGAGCAUGAUCAUAGCUUACUGUAACCUCACACUCUUGGGUUCAAGUGAUUCUCCUGCCUCAGCUUCCCAAGCAGCUAGGACUACAAGUGUGUGCCACCACACCUGGCUCAUUUUUUAAUUUUUGCAGAAACAGACUCUUGCUAUGUUGCUCAGACUGGUCUCAAACUCCUGGCCUAAAGCGAUCCUUCAGUCCCUGCCUCCCAAAGCAGUGGGACUGCAGGUGCGAGUCACCAUGGCUGGCUUGAGGAGUGUUUUUUAAAACAUCCUGGCCAACUGUGAGCAUUGAGACAUCAAUUUAUCAAGGCUUUACUGAGUGCUCAAGGGCCCAGGCACAUUCUAAGUCCUGGAAGAGGGAGCACAGUGGAAGUUCUAGGACUUAGCUAUCUAGUUAAAUAUCUUCAGUUUAAACAGAUUUACUCAUUUUACAACUGUGUAACAAUUUAUUUUUUGGCAGUUUCUGAACUUCCAGUUUUCACGUUCUCUAGUAUUGACAACAAGCUGAUAAUCUUGCUAGACACAACAGACUCUUGAGGAAGGAAUUAUUCAUUGUGGUUUAUAGACAAUGAUAUUUGAAGUUAACUUGCCCCAGGGCAGGAGUAUGGUUCUUAUAUAAUGUAGGAAAAGGCCAGUCAACACCAGACCUCAGAGCUACCAUUUAAUGCAUUGUGGCAAAUGAUUCGCAUGUAUUAUCACACUUAAUGCUCACAAGAAUACUACCAUGAAAUAGUUAAUAUUUAAAACAAAUUUUUUUAUUUUUUAAGGAGACUGGGUCUCACUAUGUUGCCCAGGCUUGUCUCGAACCCCUGGGCUCAAGUGAUCCUCCCACCUCAGCCUCUUAAAGUUCUGGGAUUACAAGCAUGAGCCACCGCGAGUGGUCUUUAUCAUUAUUAUCGCUGUUUUACAGAUGAGAAAACUGAGGCACAGAGACCUGCUUAUGGUGACACAAGUAGGAAUUGAAAAGAUGAGAUUUGAAUCUAGCUGGUCUAAUUUAUCCUGAAGUUCAAGAUAGCAAUACAAGAAUUAUGAACAUAUAAAUGGAGUGAGUGGAUAUGAUCGCUCAAGAUAAAUCUCUUGGCCGGGCGCAGUGGCUCACACCUGUAAUCCCAGCACUUUGGGAGACUGAGGCGGGCAGAUCACGUGGUCAGGAGAUCAAGACCAUCCUGGCUAACAUGGUGAAACCCCCUGUCUACUAAAAAUACAAAAAAUUAGUGGGGCGUGGUGGUGCACGCCUGUAAUCCCAGCUACUCAGGAGGCUGAGGCACGAGAAUCACUUGAACCCAGGAGGCGGAGGUUGCAGUGAGCCAAGAUUGCGCCACUGCACUCCAGCCUGGGUGAUAGAGUGAGACUCCGUC